UUUUCAGAGAAGGAAAACCUGCUCCUGUUUUCCACACAUCAUCAUCCAAACUCCUCUCAGACCAGAAGACACCACCAUGGCAAAUCAGAUAAGCAGCGAUCCAAGGACAUUAGCCUUAGAGCAGCAAUGGCCAAGAUCCACAGAGCAGAGGAGUCAGGAGGCACUUGGGGUGGAGGGGGGUUGAUAUCCCCAGAUUGCUCCUAAAAUGAACCAUUAGCAGCUGAAACCCCUUUUGGUCUGACAGUGAAGCAUCCUCAAAAACUACCGCCAUUACCCUGCCACACUGUGCCCAGUCAUUAUGUGCUCUGAGAGGAUACCUGUGUUGAUGUGUGUCUGUGUCUGUCUGUGUGUGUCUGUGUGUGUCUGUGUGUGUCUGUGUGUGUGUGUGUGUG